UGUUUUGCUCCCAUAGCAAGGAAUCAGUGAGGAGAAAAUUAGUUAUUGAGGUUUCUUUAAAUGAAUCUCUUCUGCCAUCUUUGCUGCUAUAAUAUGAAGCUAAGUGUGUGUAAGGUUUUAAAAAUGUGAUAUUACAACUUACAAGGCACAACAUUCAUCAAUGGUUCUGGAGAUGUUAGUUUUCACUUGUUGACAGUUGGACAGAAAUCUCCCAGCGUCCAAUUUGGGAUUAGAUUCACAUUACCACUGUUUUGAUGUGUAUUGUUAUGACUUAAUUCCUCAAACUAGAGACAUUGUUAGAUGAUAGUGUGAACAAGAAAGUUGAAAUGGAGAUAGCCAGUGGUGGCACUCCAAUGACGGUGAACUUUUGAGAAAUGGUCGUAGUGUUGUGGAGCAAUGGUACUUAUUUUUACUAACCUUUUCCCUUUGUUUUUCAUUUGAAGGUUGCAACUAUGGCAUUCUUUAGAAAAGUUGGGUAUGUACUUAAACAGAGUGUAAGUAAGUAGUUUACUUCGCAAAUUUCAGCAUCAAAUUCCACUAUUUACGAGGCUAUCAGAUGCAUGUCUUCAUCAAAAGUCUUUUUUGGAGGUCUCUCAUAGUCUGUAGAUGACAUAUCCUUACGGGAUACCUUUGCUCGAUAUGGCAAAGUUGUUGAAGCCUCUGGUUAUCCGAUGAGUGCUGCAUGGUGUAUAGCUAGGAUUUGUGAGGGCGUGCAACAGAAAUGGAGCAUCCUGUGAUUUCCGUGAUUGAUGCCUCUGGAGCAAGGAGCCAUUAGCAGUGUUUCUGCUUGCAUGCAGGACAACCAAGUUACAGCAAUGAUCAUAGUAUAUAGGGCAAGGAUAAAACAACAGAAGAAAGAAGAAUUGCUGGUUGUAUUUUUGAUGAUGUUGUGGAGUAUUGUCGUGAAGCAACACGUAGAUAUUACAAUAUGUUCCUUUCCUUUUGGAAACUUGCAAUGAUGAGAAUUCAGAUGUUCGACAGGUGACUUUGAAUUCCUGUUGUAUUUGUGUAAUCACAAGAGUUGCAUUUAGUACUAUGAUUUAAUUGUAUAACAGGUUGUUGUUUAUGGUCUUGGUGUUUGUGCUGAGUUUGGUGGUUCUGUAUUCAAGCCUCUUGUUGGAGGUAUGAUUAUCUUGCUUUGUUGUGCUACUUCAAGUUGGACUUCAUAUUAUCUGUUGACAUGUGAAUUGGAAUUGUUUGAGGCACUCAUUCCCUGGGACGAACCUGGAAAAGAAACAGCUGCUACCUAUAAUGUCAGAUAACCUACUUUACAAUAUGGAUAGACCUUUGUCUUCGGAUUCAGACAGCUCCUCGAAGAAGCAGAAUACCUCUAAUGUUCAAAGUGAAGUCGUUGUAGUAGCUGUAGUGAACACACUGGUGCAAGAAAGCUUUUCAUAUGAGAAUGUAACAAAGAAAAACCAGAAAUUUAGACCUGCCAAAUUAUCUCUUCAGGUCCUGAAAUCCAGACAAGUGAGUCCCCUCAAGGAGAAAUCUUUGAAUCAAAAACAAUACUCAUCCGCCCCACCAAUGCAAAACCAAGUCUUAGCAAGUGCAAGCUUAAAACAUAUUUCUAACAGAAGACGAACUCAGAGUGGUACAAAAGAUGCAGGUUCUCAUAAGCGAUGGGUGUAGUAAGUACACAUAUUUGCUUUGGUGGAGCUUCAUAUGUAUUUGUUUGGUUGGAUCAUGUCACACUGUAAAAGAAAAACUUUUAUGAAGGUAUGAUGCCCAAUGCACUGUCGAGUGUCUGCUACUCGUGAUCUUCAAUUUCAAUAUUUGCCUUAUUGGAAUGGUAUUUGAUCAUGUCACACUGUAAAAGAAAAACUUUUGUUUUGAUUUAUUGGAAUGGUGUUUAAAAGCUUUAGGUCCU